rnacentral:rRNA from 1 species
GACGAACGCUGGUGGCGUGCUUAACACAUGCAAGUCGAACGGGAUUUCGUAAACAGAAGCCUCGGUGGAAGAUUACUAAUGAGAGUGGCGAACGGGUGAGUAACGCGUGAGCAACCUGCCUAUGACAGUGGGAUAGCCUCGGGAAACCGGGAUUAAUACCGCAUAAAAUCGUAGAAACACAUGUUUUAACGGUCAAAGAUUUAUCGGUCAUAGAUGGGCUCGCGUCUGAUUAGCUAGUUGGUGAGAUAACAGCCCACCAAGGCGACGAUCAGUAGCCGGUCUGAGAGGAUGAACGGCCACAUUGGAACUGAGACACGGUCCAAACUCCUACGGGAGGCAGCAGUGGGGAAUAUUGCACAAUGGGGGAAACCCUGAUGCAGCGACGCCGCGUGAACGAAGAAGGUAUUCGUAUCGUAAAGUUCUGUCCUAUGGGAAGAUAAUGACAGUACCAUAGAAGAAAGCACCGGCUAAAUACGUG